UUUUUGUUUACUAAUAAGCCAUAUUAUGAAACAGUAGUUUUGAAUAAUUACAAAGAAAACAAAAAAAGAUCAAUCAAUAUAUUUUAAAUAUUUUUUUGGAUCACUUUAGAAGCGGAAUGUCAAAGCUUUAUCAUUGCAAUACAAAAGUUAUGGAUAAGAGGUUACAUGAAAUUGACUUUUGAAGGAGACUGCAAAAAUCUAGUCAAUAGCUUGAAUGGAGGCAGCUCAAGAUUUGAUUUGGUUAACUGGACCUAUGAAAGAAGAGCAUGGGAGAGAAUAUUUGAGCAAUUGACAAUUGGACACUAGGAGCAACAAAUCAAACCUGCAGACAUUUUAGCGAAGAAACAACAAACAGAAGUUUCAGACUUCAUAUCUCAUUUUCAUAUUCCUUCUUGUAUAUCCAAUGAGUUGCACUCAGAUUACAUUGAUCCAAGUUAAUGAAAGUUGAUUUUUUUUUUUAAACUACAGUAAAUUCUCUAGAAAUUCCAUUAAUAUAU
rnacentral:sRNA from 1 species